UUCAAAAGACAUAUAUGAUAAAGGCUGUUAUCCAAAAUACACAAAGAACUCUUAAAACUCAACAAAAAGAAAGGUGGGUAUGGGCGCUGGCUGGAGUUGCUCAGUGCUCACCAUCCUCUUCUCAAAGCCAUGUCUGUAAGACACCGUGGUGAAGGUGAAGGCCAGAGUAAAUAGAUUUGGCCAUAUUGAGCGCCUGGUCACCAGGGCUGCUUUUAACUCUAGUAAAGUAGAUAUUGUCGCCAUCAAUGACCCUUCAUUGACCUCAACUACAUGGUCAACAUCUUCCAGUAUUUCUACCCAUGGCAAAUCCCACUGCACCAUCAAGGCUGAGAAUGGGAAGCUUGUCAUUAAUGGAAAUCCCAUCACCAUCUUCCAGGAGCAAGAUCCCACCAAAAUCAAAUGGGGUGAUGCUGACGCUGAGUACGCUGUGGAGUCCACUGGCAUCUUCACGACCAUGGAGAAUCUCGGCCAGGGCUUACGUAACGGGGGAGCCAAAAGGGUCAUUAUCUCUACCCCCUCUGCUGAUGCCCCCAUGUUCAUAAUGGGCAUGAUCCAUGAGAAGUAUGAAAACAGCCUCAAGAUCAUCAGCAAUGCCUCCUGUACUACCAACUGCUUAAUCCCACUGACCAAGCCCACCCAUGACAACUCUGGCAUUGUGGAAGGACUCGUGACCCAGAAGACUGUGGAUGGUCUCCGUGGGAAACUGUGGCAUGAUGUCUGUGGGGCUCUCCAGAACAUCAUCCCUGUAUCUACUGGUGCUGCCAAGACUGUAGGCAAGGCCAUCCCCGAGCUGAACAGGAAGCUCACUGACAUGGCCUUCCAUGUUCCCUUCUGCAAAUGUGUUGGUUGUGGACCUGACCUGCCAUCUGGAGAAACCUGCCAAAUAUGAUGACAUCAAAAAGGUGGUGAAGCAGGCGUUGGAGGGCCCCUCAAGGGCAUCCUGGGCUACGCUGAACACCAGGUUGUUUCCUCUGACUUGAACAGUGACACCCACUUUUCCACUUUCAGUGCUGGGGCUGGCUUUGCCCUCAGUGACCACUUUGUCAAGAUCAUUUCCUCAUAUAACAAUGAAUUUGGCCACAGCAACAGGGUGGUGGCCCAUAUGGCCUCCAAGGAGUAAGACUCCUUGACAGCCAGCCCCAGUGAGAGCACAAGAGGAAGAGAGAGACCUUCAGCUUCUGGGGAGUCCCUGUCACCCUCAGUCCCCCACCACACUUGGAAUCUCCCCUCCUCACAAUUUCCAUGCAGACCCCACAAAGCUCUACCUUGUCGUGUACCAUCAAUGAAGUCCCCUGUACUCAAAAAAAAAAAAAAAGAAAGAAAA